GGAAGCGUGCCUGAAUUAAAGGAUCACUUUGAUAGAGUGAAACAUGAGUGUUAAAAUCAUUCCACUUCCU
rnacentral:tRNA from 1 species